rnacentral:rRNA from 1 species
AUUGAACGCUGGCGGCAGGCUUAACACAUGCAAGUCGAGCGGUAACAUUUCUAGCUUGCUAGAAGAUGACGAGCGGCGGACAGGUGAGUAAUACUCAGGAAUCUACCUAGUAGUGGGGGAUAGCUCGGGGAAACUCGAAUUAAUACCGCAUACGACCUACGGGAGAAAGGGGGCAACUUGUUGCUCUCGCUAUUAGAUGAGCCUAAGUCGGAUUAGCUAGAUGGUGGGGUAAAGGCCUACCAUGGCGACGAUCUGUAGCUGGUCUGAGAGGAUGAUCAGCCACACCGGGACUGAGACACGGCCCGGACUCCUACGGGAGGCAGCAGUGGGGAAUAUUGGACAAUGGGGGAAACCCUGAUCCAGCCAUGCCGCGUGUGUGAAGAAGGCCUUUUGGUUGUAAAGCACUUUAAGCAGUGAAGAAGACUCUUCGGUUAAUACCCGGAGACGAUGACAUUAGCUGCAGAAUAAGCACCGGCUAACUCUGUGCCAGCAGCCGCGGUAAUACAGAGGGUGCAAGCGUUAAUCGGAAUUACUGGGCGUAAAGCGAGCGUAGGUGGCUUGAUAAGUCAGAUGUGAAAUCCCCGGGCUUAACCUGGGAACUGCAUCUGAUACUGUUAGGCUAGAGUAGGUGAGAGGAAGGUAGAAUUCCAGGUGUAGCGGUGAAAUGCGUAGAGAUCUGGAGGAAUACCGAUGGCGAAGGCAGCCUUCUGGCAUCAUACUGACACUGAGGCUCGAAAGCGUGGGGUAGCAAACAGG